UAUUUCGACUUUCGGCUUCCCUUCUUCUAUCCUAUUCUCCUCUUGUUUUCCACUCUUUUUUUUUUCUCUCUUUCCUUCUUCUGUUUCUUCGCUUCAAAAACCUUCUCCUACGGCGACAACUCGAAAGGGUCGUUAGACGGUACAAGAAUGAGAAGGUAAAAAUCCUCCUACGUUUCCAUCCAGAGAACAAUACCACUUAGCCCGCCAUUUUCAACACGAUCGUCUCGUCUUUACCCUCUCUUUCUCUCUUCUCCUUUAUAUUUCUACAAUUGUCGCUACUACAACUGUUUCCUCGUCGAUCCGCCAUGCAUACACCAGCGACACCACGACACCAAUUUUGGAAUUAGAUGCCCACCAUUGUUUCGAAUUUAGACGAAUGAUUGUUGAAGAGAGAUUGAUCGGUGUGAUUAUUGGUUCAGUUGUUCCACGAAAGUUUAUAAAAGUUUUUAAUAAAAGGUGAAUAUGAUAAAUAGUUCGAUUGUUUAAACAAACGUGAUAUAUUUUUUUUAAACGAUUCGAUUGCAACAUUGUGUGAAAGAAGAUAAACAUAUUUGACGAGAAAUUGGAUGACACGUACGACUGGAAUUUUUAGAAUUACACGUAAACCUGUUAUUUGUUCUUAAGUUGUGAAAAAAAUGUGAAAAAAAUUCCGUUUCUAAAAUACGCGUUAUCCGUCGAAAUUGAUUCGGUCGAAUUGAAACGUUGAAAUCGUUGCUUUCCCUCUAGUUAUCAACGUCUACGUGUCUUUCGUGAAAUCCUGAAUAUCGAAUUUCACCGUUUACCGAGUCGAAGAAACGCGAGGAAUUUCCAAAAGGAAUUCUUUUUCCCAAAGUAUUUCCCCCUCGUUUUUUGAAUCCGUCGCUUUGCAACCCGAUCACGAACCGUUGGACAGAUUUGUCACGCUUGUUUUUCGAAUUAAAACGUUUUAAAAGUUGACCCAGGCUACAAUAACAUUCUUCAUUCUUUUUUUCCUUUCGUAACCGAUUGAUCCAACGUUGGACAUAAAUCCAUCGAAAAAGUGAUCAACGAAACGAGUAGCUAUUAAAUUUGACCAUGGUCUAUUUCUAUAUAUAUUUUUCUAUUAAAAUAGAAAUAAAUCAUGAUAAUUUUACAAAUAAAAUUAACAAUUGUCAUUAUCAAUAAUUACACUGUCUGCGCGACAUUCAUUACCGAUAACACGACAUACAUAUUAUAACACAAUAGUAGAACGUUUCUCUUUAAUGCUCUCGAGGAUCGAAGAAACACGAUUCCGAUAUAAUUGCAUUUCCGAUCGUUGAUUUAAUUCACACUCCCGAUUUCGUUAAUUGCAUCCCGCGGUAACCGCGAAUGAAUACGCGGCGUGAAAAUCGAAAACCAACUCCCGGUUUACUCGAGAUUUUUAUUAUUAAUGGAAUUAAUAAUAUUUGCAAAGUGUUAAAGUGUAUUUUCAUGAGGUGUCGAGUGAAAUCACUUUUUUUUUAUACACGCGAACGUGUCUCGUCUGAUUUUGCGAAUUUGAAGCGAAAAAUGUUUCGGAUCGAAUUAAACUUUUGUUCGAAAAUGUGACAUCGUUAAUCGCGAAAUUUCAUCGUGUGCCUACCUCGAGCAUAUCACUCUUCUCUUUCAUCUUCACAAAUUAAAUAUUAACUCGUCGCUCGAAUCUUCCUUCCUUUCUCUCUUUCUCUCUCUCUCUCUCUCUCUCUCUCUCUCUCUCUCUCUCUCUCUCUCUCUCUCUCUCUCUCUCUCUCUCUCUCUGCCCCCUCCUUCUCCCAGGACACACAAAAACUAGCGUUUAUUUGAUCUCUACUAUUUUUUUCCCCCUCCCCUCGACAGCAAAUACCGAUUGCCACGCACGAGAGCUCGUUCGCGGUAAAUAAUGGGAACAUUAAUCGAUAGAACUCGGUUAAUUAGCGCGAGCGACUGCAUUUUCGAAACGGUUAAUUAGAUUUCCACAUCAUCUUUCGCGCUGUUAAUUUACUCUCGAAAUUGCCCUUUAUUUCUGUUGCUCAUUGCCACGAGAAAAGUUUGAGAAAAAAUUUUUUUCCUCGAAUAACGAAUUUUUUUUAUUACCGUCCGUAGGUAACAUCGACAUUUUCGAUCAAUAUUCUCGGAAAAGCUACUUAACUAAAAAUCGAAUUGACAAAGGAUACAUUGGAAAGGAAAAAUGAAAUCGAAUAAUAUUCACGGCCCGUUUCUGAUCUCAUUUGAAUAUCGGAUGCAACAAGACACGUUCAUGAAUAAUCAUUAAGGAAAAAAAAAAAAUCCCAAUAGGAUAAUUGUUGGAAUUCAAUUUCAUACCUUUUCCACCUUAUUUCAUGCAUCGAGAGUUUUUCUUUUAUAAUAUUUCCAUCUUUGGUAAAAAUUUCCUCAAGUGCGAGCGAGAAGUUUCAAUAGAUCGCGAAAGAGACUUUCCGUCUUGUCGAGAACGAUCGGAUCUUCGACUCGAAUGUGACACGCGUGGAUGUGCGGAAAUAAAAAUACGCCGAUUCGAGGAAAGGAUAGAAGAAAUUUCGUGCGAAAAGGAAAAAAGCAAUUUGAGUGGAGAAAAAUUCUGGGUAAUUUAAUUCGCCGGAUAAAGCAGUGUUGUAAGUAUGAGAGAGAAAUGUAGAUAAAAAAACGUAGAGAAGAAUACAUAUAUAUUCUAUAAGUAUAUUCACGGAACCGCUUUCGAUCUCUCAACGGUAUAAAUUGAUCUCCCCAUUUUCAUAUCACGACUUUCGUUAAACGAAUCCUUUCAGGCUUGGCAAGGAUAUGCUUUUAUCAGAGGUUCCUUGAAAGCGGUUGCAAAAGAAUACAGGGAGAGAGAGAUAUCUUGUUUGGCCCGCAAAAAGAUGCAAAAGGAACCAAGCGAAAUCUUUCGACGAUCCGGCGUACUAACUGGCUAGUUUUUUUUUUUUCGAAGUUUGUGAAGCUUGCGUCUUCGAAAUUCAGGUUCGAAAAUUCUCGGAUAAUCGAAUUGUUUCAAAUUUGCAGAUUUUCAUUUCGCUAAGGAAGAUGGAAAGAUGUGUUUGGAAGAAGAUAUAUGGGAUGUGAAUUGGUGAAAGAAAGUGGAAAAUCGUGGAGGAGUUUCGAAGAAUUUAUUAUUACGAGGCGAGUGCAAUGAAACUGCGCGAUGUACGCGUUUCGUCUUUUUGGACGGUCGGUCCAUCGGUACACGUCCGAACGUGUUCCCCCUCCCUCGAAAUUUCACGCGGCGCUACACGCUGUUCCAGAAGUACCAACUGCAACUACUUUAUUCCCUGUCGUGAUGCGUCUCGACUAAUUCCUCGAAAUCCCUCACCUCGUUAAAACCCAUCCUCGUCGUUUUCGAUGAAAUUUCAUCGAUAAUAUCGUUGUCCAUCUUCGAAAAGGAAUGAUCAUCAGGUUCUGAAAGGUGAAAGACGAUAAUCGAUUUUAUAAGACCUUAAGUUAUUUCGAGGAGGGAGGGGACAGUAAGAGGAUUCGCUCGCAUUUGCAUAAUCCAUCCAAGAGGAACCGUAUUCAGGAUGGAAAGUCAAAGAGUCAUAAGCGUCUUUGUCGUGUUUCGAUAAAGAGUCGACGAUGCUUUUGAAAGUUUUAUAGAAGAAGAAGAAGAGGAAGAAGAAGAAGAAGAAGAUACUCGAAGCGCGUUUCGAGAAUUAUUUUCGUUCAGAUAAAAAUUUGGUGGAAAGUUUGGUGGAAACAGGGUGAUACGAGUGAUAAAUGAAUCUUUUCUUCUACGUUUCCACGAUUCAACAUGCGAGUAAUCGAGCACAAUAGAAGUUGGCCGGUUGAAAGCAAACGGAGCAUUAUUCCAAGAUUAAUGCUCGCUUCGGUUGAGCUUUGGGCGUGCAUUAAUUAUACCAUCUAAUCACCUUGGCCAUUACGCAACUAUCCAUGAACAGGAUAGUCGCAUGAUGCACGCCACGAAAUACUGCGUAAUCAUUGUCGUGAUCGAGCACGGGACACGCCCUCGCGAUUAAUAUAUAUAACAGCAGCGUUCUGUUUCAAAAACAGAAGGGAGGAAAUUUGAUGAUACAACGUGGCCCCGUGUUUCCACGCCUUCCACUUUGAAUUAUCACGACCGAGUGCCGCUUCCGGGCUUCCAGAUGCAAAAAUAACAUCCCACGUUUUAUUAUCAAUUUUAAUUAAGAAUUUUGAUACGCGAUAUAUAUUUACUUUCACGGGAAUAAAAUGGAAAUAUUUUAUCCCGGCGAAUAAUAAAAACAAUAUUAACGGUUAUUCGGUUUAAUGGAAAUGAAAUUAAUUGAUCUCGUUAUAAAGAUAUUUUCGCAAAUAUCUUCUUUCUUCUUUUUACGGUAAUAAUAAAACGGGCCACGAACGUUCUCUCUGGCUUUGACCACUUAUUGCACUCUCACCAACGGAAUGAGCGAUAUUUUUAAAGCGACUCGAUUAAAUCAAUCGGAAAUUUUUAAUAAAUAUCGCGAAUUAUAUAAAUAGAAUUAAGAAAAACGGGAAAAAAAAUGAAAAUAUAUAAAUUCAUAAAACCAGAGAUUAGAAUUAUUCGUGAUCGAAUCGUGCGGAUUCGUGAAUUAGGUUAGGUUGCCGGAUUCAAAACGAAAAAGGAUGCAAGUACCGAGAAUAAAUAUUUUGGAAUAAAACUUGGUUAAAAAUUCUUGACAAAUAGCGAUAAAAGAAAUAAAAUAUACAUAUAAUAAGAAAAAAAACGAAAAUUUACAAAAAUUCUCGUAAAACGUGAGAUUAGAAACAUUCGAGAUGCGAAUUCGUAGAUUAGGUUAGGUUGCCACGAUUCGUUAUAAAAAUUUCAUGUUUGAAUUCAAGAUGCGAGCACUGAGAAUAAUUUUGGAAACGUAGCUUAAUUAGAAAUUCUUGAUAAAUAUAUGUAGCGAUAGAAAAAAA